rnacentral:lncRNA from 10 species
GCUGAGCACAAUGUAGGCGCUCUAAGACUAAUGAAAGAAUCAAAUCAGGUGUGUGAGUGAUUCAGCAAGAAGUUGAAUUAGAGCCAGCUGCUUCGUCUGAGUUGGGUUAAGUCAGAGGGGGAGGGUUGAUAUUGGGUAAUCAGAACAAAACGAGCUGGAGGGCCAGCCACCUGCUUAGUCGGAGUAAGAAUGCCUGCAGAGACCUGGACCAGAGUGGGCAGAAUGGAGUCACCAUGAAUAUAUGCACCAAGGGAAUGAACACACAAAUUAAAAGGCUGGAGUAUAGUGGUGCGAUCAUAGCUAGCUGCAGCCUUGAACUCCUCCUCAAGCAAUCCUUCCUCCUUGGCCUCGCAAAGUCCUGGGAUUACAGGCGUGAGCUACUGGGCCUGACCUACAAAAUGUUUUAUGCUUUCGCCUAUUAUAGGAGACAUAUUGCUCACCCUUCACGAGAGGUCAAACACCUGAGUUAAAUUUUGGAAAGCUUCUAUAUACCUAUCAGGAUCUUCAGAAAAUCAGACUAAGCCUCCUUUUAUUUGCCUAAGGACCUGCAAUGAGAAGGGAACUUGAACCCUAGUGGCAUCACCUCCAUUGGGAAUUUCCUAUAGGGGGCCUAAAUAGUGUUCCUUGGAGAGAAAAUUACCCUGGGAAUGAAUAAACAAGAGCAAUGCAAAUGUUUCUUUUACAUUAGAUUCUUGCAGCCCUGGAAAUCCUAAAUAAUAAUCAUGGCAAUACUACAUUUAUAAGACUAAAAGAUAGGAACUCAAGAAAAAUUUGGUCAUAGCAGUUGGUGAAAAAGUGAAUUUAAGAGAAGUGACAAAAAGAACUACUUGGGAUAUCCACGACUGUUACAGAUGCUUCGUGGAGGUUCAAAAAGACUACAGAUCAAGGCCAGUGACCUUCUACACAUGGUGGACACUCCAGCCUCUGCUCAAUCUCCAUCCACACUUAAAGGAAAUAGCCAACUCUUGGCCAACCUUCAGGCCUGGGAAGAGGCUCAAGCAGACACUGAAGACGGACUUAAGUGAGUGAAGCUUUGGCAGGACCAUGUCUCUGAAUGUCUCAUUGGAAGGGUUUCAUCACUGUCCCUGAAAGCCUCCUUCAUCAAGAUUUUUUGAAUGUUGUAUUUCCUGAGUUGACUCUGAUUUUCUAAUCUUUGCUUUUCUGAUUUACAUGUCUGUUUGGUUCUAUAUUCCGAGUAAGUAGCUUGCGUUUGUCUUCCAACUCUUCAAAUUAUUGUUGCAUUUGUGCUUUAUCAUUAAAUGCCAAGAAUUCCUUUUAUAAUUGAUGUACUUUUGAGCUGGUCAGUUUUUAUUAAAAAAAAAAUUUAGAAACUUCUGCUCAGAUAAUCUGUGCUUUAGAUGAUUAUAACAUGUCAUUAAUAAUUUUCUGAUUUUUAUGCUUGUAUUGGCCUUAAAGAUAAUGUCCAUGUUAUAGAAAAUACAAAUUGAGUGUUCAGGAAUAAAGGCCUAACACAUCUUCAAU